AGGACGAACGCUGGCGGCGUGCCUAACACAUGCAAGUCGAGCGAAUGAAGUUCCUUCGGGAACGGAUUUAGCGGCGGACGGGUGAGUAACACGUGGGCAACCUGCCUCAUAGAGGGGAAUAGCCUUCCGAAAGGGAGAUUAAUACCGCAUAAGAUUGUAGUACCGCAUGGUACAGCAAUUAAAGGAGCAAUCCGCUAUGAGAUGGGCCCGCGUCCGAUUAGAUAGUUGGCGGGGUAACGGCCCACCAAGUCGACGAUCGGUAGCCGGACUGAGAGGUUGAACGGCCACAUUGGGUCUGAGACACGGCCCAGACUCCUACGGGAGGCAGCAGUGGGGAAUAUUGCACAAUGGGGGAAACCCUGAUGCAGCAACGCCGCGUGAGUGAUGACGGUCUUCGGAUUGUAAAGCUCUGUCUUUAGGGGACGAUAAUGACGGUACCUAAGGAGGAAGCCACGGCUAACUACGUG
rnacentral:rRNA from 1 species